rnacentral:rRNA from 1 species
UACGAAGGGGGCUAGCGUUGCUCGGAAUGACUGGGCGUAAAGGGCGCGUAGGCGGUUUGUACAGUCAGAUGUGAAAUUCCUGGGCUCAACCUGGGGGCUGCAUUUGAUACGUAUGGACUGGAGUGAGGAAGAGGGUCGUGGAAUUCCCAGUGUAGAGGUGAAAUUCGUAGAUAUUGGGAAGAACACCGGUGGCGAAGGCGGCGACCUGGUCCUUUACUGACGCUGAGACGCGAAAGCGUGGGGAGCGAACAGG